rnacentral:rRNA from 1 species
UGGGGAAUCUUAGACAAUGGGCGCAAGCCUGAUCUAGCCAUGCCGCGUGAGUGAUGAAGGCCCUAGGGUCGUAAAGCUCUUUCAACUGUGAAGAUAAUGACGGUAGCAGUAGAAGAAACCCCGGCUAACUCC